rnacentral:rRNA from 1 species
AUACCGGCUGCUCGAGUGAUGGCCACUAUUACUGGGUUUAAAGCGUCCGUAGCUUGACUGUUAGGUCUCUUGGGAAAUCUUUUGGCUUAACCAAAAGGCGUCUAAGAGAUACCGGCAUUCUUGGAACUGGGAGAGGUAAGCCGUACUUCGGGGGUAGGAGUGAAAUCUUGUAAUCCUCGAGGGACGACCUAUGGCGAAGGCAGCUUACCAGAACAGCUUCGCCAGUGAGGGACGAAAGCUGGGGGAGCAAACGGGAUUAGAUACCCGGGUAGUCCCAGCCGUAAACCAGGUGCGUUAGGUGUGUCGGUUACCACGCGUAACUGAUGCGCCGAAGAGAAAUCGUGAAACGCAACACCUGGGAAGUACGGUCGCAAGGCUGAAACUCCAAUGAAUUGACGGG